AUUGAACGCUGGCGGCAGGCUUAACACAUGCAAGUCGAACGAGUGGCGGACGGGUGAGUAAUGCUUGGGAAUCUCGCUUAUGGAGGGGGAUAACUCCGGGAAACUGUAGCUAAUACCGCGUACCAUAGGAUGAGCCCAAGUGGGAUUAGGUAGGGGGUGAGGUAAAGGCUCACCACGCCGACGAUCGCUAGCUGGUCUGAGAGGAUGACCAGCCGCACUGGGACGGAGACACGGCGCAGCCUCCUACGGGAGGCAGGAGUGGGGAGUAUUGCGCAAGGGGGGCAAGCUGAAGCAGCCAUGCCGCGUGAAUGCAGAAGGCCUUCGGGUUGUAAAGUACUUUCGGUAGCGAGGCGUUAACUACAGAAGAAGCACCGGCUAACUCCGUGCCAGCAGCCGCGGUAAUUC
rnacentral:rRNA from 1 species